rnacentral:rRNA from 1 species
CUCGGCAACGGAUAUCUUGGCUCUCGCCUCGAUGAAGAACGCAGCAAAAUGCAAUACUUGGUGUGAAUUGCAGAAUCCCGUGAACCAUCGAGUUUUUGAACGCAAGUUGCGCCCGAAGCCAUUAUGCUGAGGGCACGUCUGCCUGGGCGUCACGCACAA